rnacentral:rRNA from 1 species
CAGUAGCCGCGGUAAUACGAGGGAUCCUAGCGUUGUUCGGAAUCAUUGGGCGUAAAGGGUGUGUAGGCGGCCUUGUAAGUCAGUUGUGAAAGCCCCGGGCUCAACCCGGGAAGUGCUUCUGAUACUGCUUGGCUUGAGUAUUGGAUAGGUGAGUGGAAUUCCAGGUGUAGUGGUGAAAUACGUAGAUAUCUGGAGGAACACCGGCGGCGAAGGCAGCUCACUGGCCAUAUACUUACGCUGAAACACGAAAGCGUGGGUAGCAGACAGGAUUAGAUACCCGAGUAGUCCCUGUCUCUUAUAC